ACUGCCACACUGGCCAGCUCCAGGAAGUUGGGAAAUGAGGUCAGUUGAGAAGAGCUACUAACUGACUGGCAGCAUUAUCAAUUGAAGCAUUUGCAGUCUCUUCUACAGAUUGAAUUGAACUGAAUUGAAUGAAUGGAAGCAUUCCCUUCUACAGGACAAAAGAAGCAAAAGAGAAGAAAUCAAAGAAACGUUGGAAGAGGGAACAUUCUGAUGGGCUGCAAGGGACAAGAGAUUAAUCCAUCAGCAUCAAUCAAAAACAAUGCUAGAUAUAAUAGGUCCACAGGACUCCUUAAGUCAUAGGAGUUUAACCAGCUUUGAGAAGUGUAAAUAGGAAGAAUUCAAACGAUGUGUGCUUACGAUCAAGUAAAUAUACAUCUUAAAUGAAUUAUGUCCUAUGAUGAACAGCAGAAAAGUAAAAAAAGGAAAUUCAAAGGUAGAGGGACAAGAAGGAAGAAAAACAUGGAGCUAAACUUGUCCUUUCUACAACUCAAGAUGGCCAGGAGUAAAACAAAAGAAAAUAAGAAGAGGCUUUUCAAAAAUACAUUGGCAUAACAUGCAACAACAUAUAACAGGGUAAUACAGAAUUACAGAAAUAUAAAUUCUCCAUUCCCAGAAUAGCAGGGUAGAGGAGGAAAACAACUCUGUUGCAGGAUGCAGGAUGCAACUCUGGAGCAGAACUGUAACUUGAGAAAAUAUCUCAGACAACCCUCUCCCUAGAUCUCAUGAAGUUAAAGGGAGGACAUGCUGAGGUGAUUUCAUGCUUGCAAGAUUCUGAUACUAUAAUUUUACAAUAAAAGUAGUAUUGGCAC